CGAAGGUCCCAAGCGUUAUCCGGAUUUAUUGGGUUUAAAGGGUGCGUAGGCGGGUUAUUAAGUCAGUGGUGAAAGCCUUCAGCUUAACUGAAGAAUUGCCAUUGAUACUGAUGAUCUUGAGUAUGAUUGAGGUGGGCGGAAUGUGUCAUGUAGCGGUGAAAUGCUUAGAUAUGACACAGAACACCGAUUGCGAAGGCAGCUCACUAAGUCAUAACUGACGCUGAUGCACGAAAGCGUGGGGAGCAAACAGGAUUAGAUACCCUGGUAGUCCACGCCCUAAACGAUGAUCACUCGAUGUGUGCGAUACACUGUACGCGUCUGAGCGAAAGCAUUAAGUGAUCCACCUGGGGAGUACGACCGCAAGGUUG
rnacentral:rRNA from 1 species